rnacentral:rRNA from 1 species
AGCAGCCGCGGUAAUUCCAGCUCCAAUAGCGUAUAUUAAAGUUGUUGCAGUUAAAAAGCUCGUAGUUGAAUUUCGGGAUUAAUACGUUGGUCGUGCCUUUGGUACGCACUGGCGUUACUGGUUCCUACCUUCUGAAGAACCGUCAUGUCAUUAAUUUGGUGUGGCGGGGAAUCAGGACUGUUACUUUGAAAAAAUUAGAGUGUUUAAAGCAGGCUCGCGCUUGAAUACAUUAGCAUGGAAUAAUGAAAUAGGACGUUUGAUCCUAUUUUGUUGGUUUCUAGGAUUGACGUAAUGAUUAAUAGGGAUAGUUGGGGGCAUUAGUAUUCAAUUGUCAGAGGUGAAAUUCUUGGAUUUAUUGAAGACUAACUACUGCGAAAGCAUUUGCCAAGGAUGUUUUCAUUAAUCAAGAACGAAAGUUAGGGGAUCGAAGACGAUCAGAUACCGUCGUAGUCUUAACCAUAAACUAUGCCGACUAGGGAUCGGAUGAUGUUAUUUUUAAUGACUCAUUCGGCGCCUUACG